AAAAAUGGGAAUUUGGGAUUUUCAGCUUCUCCUCCUUCCUUUCUUUCUCAUUCUGUAAACAUUGAAUUCAAAGACCCAAAAAAUGCAUAGACAAUCACUGAUUUCUCUCUUCAAGUUGCUCCGGAGACACCCUUUUCAACCUUCUACGCAACCCAUAUUUGCAUUUUCCAUCGAAUCGCUCUCACCGAUUCCGACUCGACUCGUUCCCAACUCACUCAUACCACUGAGCCCCAAAUUUCUUCACACUUCCACCUCAAAUCUUUACACACCUGCCCAUCCACUUCACCGUACCCUCCACGAUUGGUCCCCGACUUAUAAAACUCGGAGAAAGCAGAGUACUGAGUCAGGAGGUGACCCAGCUCCCGCGUUGGAUGUAAACAGAGAAGUGGACAUGAUAAAUCUCAAGUUUGCAGAAGCAAGAGAGGAGAUACAGAUGGCAAUGGAGUCAAAAGAGACUGUGUAUUUCAAUGAAGAGGCAGAGUGUGCACGGACUGCGGUGAAAGAAGUGCUGGACAUGUUUGAGGGACUAUUGGGGAAGUUGCCCGAGAGCGAAAAGGCGGCUUUGCAGAGGUCAAUGGGACUGAAGAUUGAGCAGUUGAAGGCUGAGCUUCAACAGUUGGAUGAUUAAUGAGGUUGGUGAUAGUGGGUACUAGCCGAUUUUCGUUUGGUGCAUUCUUUUUGGGGUUUUGGAUAAUGUAUUAGGUUUUCGCUGAGGUUAUAGAAUCAUUAGUGAAAAGGUUUAUGCGAUGGAAAGUUAAAGAGAGAUGAUUUUGAAUAAUGGAUUAGGAGUUUGUUCCUGAAGUUUAAUUAUCUUAUGGCACUAAUCAUAAUUUUUUUCAACCUUUGGAAUAAAACGAUUUUGUUUUGCUGUAACUUUUGAUCAUUUGCGAGUGGUAUAACACUAACAAUAGUUAUAUGCUUCUAAUGUGGUCAUGCUUUGAUGAAUUGAUGCUUAGUCUUACAUGCCAAAUGGUACUGUGAUGAAAAAAAGUGAGGAAAAAAUGUUGUGAGACAUCUUAUGUGAGAAGGUAACUCCUGAGAAUGCAAUUAUUGCAAUCGAACACUCAAUCUAAGUACGCUGCUGAUUGCAUUUUGUGAUCCAGUGACGAGAAGACCAAGUUUAUGGAAAGCCAAAGAAUCUAUCAUAUGAUGGAAGAGAUGUAUAUAUAUUAUAUAUAUAUACUCCAUUGAAAUUCUGUUAUGAUUCCACCAUUAUUAAUUGAGUGUAGUGGUUUUAGUGAUUUAUAUUAUCUAGAUUAUGUAUUUGUGAAAUAAACUGCCUUCUUUUGCAGUACAAGACAUGGUUAUUGUGAGAACUUUAUCAUAGUGCUGUAAUGCUUUAUUGCAAAAUGACGAUGAAGUGGAAAUAUGAG
rnacentral:misc_RNA from 1 species